rnacentral:rRNA from 1 species
UACGUAGGGUGCGAGCGUUGUCCGGAAUUAUUGGGCGUAAAGAGCUCGUAGGCGGUCUGUCGCGUCGGCUGUGAAAACCCGGAGCUCAACUCCGGGCCUGCAGUCGAUACGGGCAGACUGGAGUUCGGCAGGGGAGACUGGAAUUCCUGGUGUAGCGGUGAAAUGCGCAGAUAUCAGGAGGAACACCAGCGGCGAAGGCGGCGCUCUGGGCCGGAACUGACGCUGAGGAGCGAAAGCGUGGGUAGCAAACAGG